rnacentral:rRNA from 1 species
AGUGAAUAGAUACCCGGGUAGUCCACGCCGUAAACGAUGAGUACUAGGUGUAGGGGGUAUCGACCCCCUUGUGCCGCAGUAAAAACAACAAAUAAAGUACUCCGCCUGGGAAGUACGAUCGCAAGAUUAAAACUCAAAGGAAUUGACGGGGACCCGCACAAGCAGCGGAGCAUGUGGUUUAAUUCGAAGCAACGCGAAGAACCUUACCUGGACUUGACAUCCCCUGAAUAACUCGUAAUGGAGGAAACCCUUCGGGGCAGGGAGACAGGUGGUGCAUGGUUGUCGUCAGCUCGUGUCGUGAGAUGUUAGGUUAAGUCCUGCAACGAGCGCAACCCCUGUCGUUAGUUGCCAUCACGUAAAGGUGGGCACCCUAACGAGACUGCCGCGGUUAACGUGGAGGAAGGUGGGGAUGACGUCAAAUCAUCAUGCCCCUUAUGUCCAGGGCAACACACGUGCUACAAUGGGCAGAACAGAGAGAAGCAAUACCGCGAGGAGGAGCAAAUCUCAAAAAA